rnacentral:lncRNA from 1 species
GUUUUGCACUCAGUUUUUAAUUACUGAAUUAUGUUUUUUCACCUUGAUACUUUAUGAUCAUCAGAAAGCUACUUACAUAAUUUAUAAUCAUACUUUAUGCUAAAUGCCCAUUUGUAACUGCAAGAAACUCAUGUUACACUAUUGACUAUGAUAUUAAACAAAGUCAUGGUCACAAGUUUUUGUAUAAGAGGUUUAUGUCUCUAUCUCUUAAAGCAAGAAAUAUCACACAGUUCAGAUUUACAUAAGUAGUUCAUCACACUGGCCCAUGGAAACAUCUAGGGUUAUUUUAUAUUUCCUACCAUUAGAAAAAUUAAACUAAAUAAGGAAAAAAACAAAGGAGAGAAAAGAAAUUUUACAAAAUGGCAACUAGCAUGACCUAAAAGAGUGUACUGAAGUUAUCUUCCUUC